CUUUCCUGGUUCCUGAUCCUACUCUUACCUUGUUCCUAGAUUAUGAUUUUGGAUUUCCCUGUGGAUUUGUUUCUUGGCUUCUGACUCCAGUUUGGCUCUGCUCUUAAAUAUUGUCUUGUAGAUUGUUCCUUAGACUUAAAACUUCUUCAGGUGGUACCAGCUGAAGAUGGUCAUCAGUUUCAUUGCUUCUUUUAAUGUUAAGUCAUCUCUUUCCAAAUGGGUUGCUACAACUUUAUUAUCAGCAAUAGUCCUUUCUGUUUUUUGGAAACUUGGGAUGAGAGAAGGAAACCUAUCAUUUCUUCCCUUCCAACGCCACA